AGGACGAACGCUGGCGGCGUGCUUAACACAUGCAAGUCGAGCGGAAAGGCCCUUCGGGGUACUCGAGCGGCGAACGGGUGAGUAACACGUGAGCAACCUGCCCCUGGCUCUGGGAUAGCCUCCGGAAACGGGGAUUAAUACCGGAUAUUCACUGUCUCCUGCAUGGGGGGUGGUGGAAAGUUUUUCGGCUAGGGUGGGCUCGCGGCCUAUCAGCUUGUUGGGGGGGUGACGGCCCACCAAGGCGACGACGGGUAGCCGGCCUGAGAGGGCGACCGGCCACACUGGGACUGAGACACGGCCCAGACUCCUACGGGAGGCAGCAGUGGGGAAUAUUGCGCAAUGGGCGGAAGCCUGACGCAGCGACGCCGCGUGCGGGAUGAAGGCCUUCGGGUUGUAAACCGCUUUCACCAGGGACGAAGCGGAAGUGACGGUACCGUGGGGAAGAAGCGCCGGCUAACUACGCGCCAGCAGCCGC
rnacentral:rRNA from 1 species